rnacentral:rRNA from 1 species
CCUACGGGAGGCAGCAGCGAGGAAUAUUGGUCAAUGGGUGCAAGCCUGAACCAGCCAUCCCGCGUGAAGGACGACUGCCCUAUGGGNUGUAAACUUCUUUUGUAUAGGGAUAAACCUACCCUCGUGAGGGUAGCUGAAGGUACUAUACGANUAANCACCGGCUAACUAC